CUCCGGUUGAUCCCGCCGGACCCGACUGCUAUCAGAGUGGGACUAAGCCAUGCGAGUCAACGCAGCAAUGCGUGGCAUACGGCUCAGUAACACGUAGUCAACAUGCCCAGGGGACGUGGAUAACCUCGGGAAACUGAGGAUAAACCGCGAUAGGCCAAGGUUUCUGGAAUGGACACUGGCUGAAACCUAUAUGGCCCCUGGAUUGGACUGCGGCCGAUCAGGCUGUUGGCGAGGUAAUGGCCCACCAAACCUGUAACCGGUACGGGCUUUGAGAGAAGGAGCCCGGAGAUGGGCACUGAGACAAGGGCCCAGGCCCUAUGGGGCGCAGCAGGCGCGAAACCUCUGCAAUAGGCGAAAGCUUGACAGGGUUACUCUGAGUGAUGCCCGCUAAGGGCAUCUUUUGGCACCUCUAAAAAUAGUGUAGAAUAAGGGGUGGGCAAGUCUGGUGUCAGCCGCCGCGGUAAUACCAGCACCCCGAGUGGUCGGGACGAUUAUUGGGCCUAAAGCAUCCGUAGCCGGUUCUGCAAGUCUUCCGUUAAAUCCACCUGCUCAACAGAUGGGCUGCGGAGGAUACUACAGGGCUAGGAGGCGGGAGAGGCAAGCGGUACUCAGUGGGUAGGGGUAAAAUCCUCUGAUCCACUGAAGACCACCAGUGGCGAAGGCGGCUUGCCAGAACGCGCUCGGCGGUGAGGGAUGAAAGCUGGGGGAGCAAACCGGAUUAGAUACCCGGGUAGUCCCAGCUGUAAACGAUGCAGACUCGGUGAUGAGUUGGCUUCUUGCCAACUCAGUGCCGCAGGGAAGCCGUUAAGUUUGCCGCCUGGGGAGUACGGUCGCAAGACUGAAACUUAAAGGGAAUUGGCGGGGGAGCA
rnacentral:rRNA from 1 species